CGUCCCUUACGUGCGGAAAUUGUUACCAUUUUCGGCUCAAAAAUGGUAACAAUUUCCGCACGUAAUACAAU
rnacentral:miRNA from 1 species